GUUUGCACUUGUCGGGGAAGGGUGAGAACCUUCGAUUAAGGUUCGACUCGAGCGAAAGCGAGAGAACGUUGCCAACGGCAACGGCC
rnacentral:sRNA from 3 species